rnacentral:lncRNA from 1 species
CGGAGGCUGCGCGCGGGCCACGCGCGGCGGCGACUUGGGCUGGGCGGUCGCCCUGCCCCACCGCCCUUCGGCGCUCGCAGGUCCGCUCCCCUCCCAAACCGCAGAGCGGCAGGCGCGGCCGCUGGUUCGAGAGCUCGGCCGGGGCAGCGCAGCCGCCGGCUGCCCCUCGCUCCCAGGCGCCACAACCCCGCGCCCUCGCCGCUGCUGCGUCCCGCGAGACCUGUGGGGAGGCCGGGAGUCACUUCGGGUUCCCUUUCAGCCCACGUGGUCCUGGGACACUCCACCCAGGAACCUAGUCGGCACCGCGCAGGGAAUCCCAGCAGCGGGGUUCUGGCCCCAGCACGCGUUGCGGCAGCCUGGCGAGCGUCCUUGCGGCCUCCAAGUGCCGGUGGGAAAAAUCAUGUCUUCUUCCAGAGUGGGGCUCCGUUUGGCUGCCUGUUUACUAAACGUUUCAGAAGCCGGAAGAAAAUACAUUGUUGAGAACAUAGCAAAAGCAGCUCUUCUUGACAAAAAUGGAAAGAAACAUCCUCAAGUUUCAGUGCUCAAUAUAUUUUCCGAUCAAGACUACAAGAGAUCAGUCAUUACAAUAGCAACUUCUGUUGAUAAGUUGGUGGACAAGCGCAACCAAGCCUAAAGGCAAGUGCUGUUGCGAGGUCGACAUCCAGGAACCAGAGGAGGGCAGAGCAAUCCACAGAAUGGAUCUGGGGUGACUCAUGGAGGAAAACCAACACACAGUACCAUUUAAUUCUUUUUAAAAAGAUGGAAAAUUAUACCAUACCCAGAAUUACUAAAUUCUAAAUAGAGGGUAUAUUGCAUUUACAUUUGUAAAAGAAUGUUUCCCCAUGUAUCUUUUAAAAAUUCAUUUUAAAGAUAUACAAUAAAAAGUGUUUAACUCUGUUUUUCAAAAAUA